rfam:Triticum urartu cultivar G1812 contig574909, whole genome shotgun sequence.
UUGUUACUCCCUUCAUCCAAGAAAGCUUGUCCCAAACUUAUCCCUCAAAUGGAUGUAUCUAGCACUAACUUGGUGCUAGAUACAUCCAUUCGAGGGACAAGCUUUUCCGGACGGAGGGAGUACAAA